AGCGAACGCUGGCGGCAGGCCUAACACAUGCAAGUCGAGCGCCCCGCAAGGGGAGCGGCAGACGGGAGAGUAACACGUGGGAACGUACCCUUCAGUUCGGAACAACCAAGGGAAACUUUGGCUAAUACCGAAUACGUCCGUAAGGAGAAAGAUUUAUCGCUGAAGGAUCGGCCCGCGUCUGAUUAGCUAGUUGGUGGGGUAACGGCCCACCAAGGCGACGAUCAGUAGCUGGUCUGAGAGGAUGAUCAGCCUCACUGGGACUGAGACACGGCCCAGACUCCUACGGGAGGCAGCAGUGGGGAAUAUUGGACAAUGGGCGCAAGCCUGAUCCAGCCUUGCCGCGUGGAUGAUGAAGGCCCUAGGGUUGUAAAGUCCUUUCGGCGGGGAAGAUAAUGACGGUACCCGCAGAAGAAGCCCCGGCUAACUUCGUGCCAGCCGCCGCGGUAA
rnacentral:rRNA from 1 species